CAGGCCUAACACAUGCAAGUCGAGCGCCGUAGCAAUACGGAGCGGCAGACGGGAGAGUAACACGUGGGAACGUGCCCUUCAGUUCGGAACAACCCAGGGAAACUUGGGCUAAUACCGGAUACGUCCGUAAGGAGAAAGAUUUAUCGCUGAAGGAUCGGCCCGCGUCUGAUUAGCUUGUUGGUGAGGUAACGGCUCACCAAGGCGACGAUCAGUAGCUGGUCUGAGAGGAUGAUCAGCCUCACUGGGACUGAGACACGGCCCAGACUCCUACGGGAGGCAGCAGUGGGGAAUAUUGGACAAUGGGCGCAAGCCUGAUCCAGCCAUGCCGCGUGAGUGAUGAAGGCCCUAGGGUUGUAAAGCUCUUUUGUGCGGGAAGAUAAUGACGGUACCGCAAGAAUAAGCCCCGGCUAACUUCGUGCCAGCAGCCGCGGUAAUAC
rnacentral:rRNA from 1 species